rnacentral:rRNA from 1 species
AGGAUCAUUGUGGAAAUGAACGGAAGAAUGACCCGCGAAUCGUCAUUGC